AAGCAAUAUAUGUAUUUUUUCUUAGGACAAAUAUGUUAUUUAUCCAAAAAUGCAUUUUUUAAGAUUGACUGCAGCUGUUUGUGAUUUUAUGCUGUUUGCUAAAUACACCCCACAAUAAAUAUUCUUUUCUAAAAGGAAAUAGUUCAUUUUGACACUUUAUAAACAGAAGAGGUGUUUUGACUUUUUGUUUUGAAUGAACACUCUAAACAUAAAUGUAUAUAUACUAAAUGCUUAUGAAUUAUCUUUUUAGAAGUUAUUGAAACUGAAAUGUUACACUUAAAGUGAAAUUUUUAUUUUUAUGUUUAUUUUAUUUAUUUUAUUUUAUUUCAGACAACUAAUGGAUCUCUAGCUGUUUCUUCUAACUGCUUGAAAACUCAGACAUUCGUAUAAGAAGCACUGGACAAUGAGGAGAACUGCUUCAGUACUGGAGACAGGAGUUUGGAGCGCUCCCUUGUACAAGUAUGUACCACCCUGCCAAGGACAGAUUAUCACCCACUCAGAAAUGCCAGAAGUCAAGUGCAGCACCUCUUCUCAAGUCUAUUGCCUCGGGAUGGGGAGGCUGAAUUUGUAAUGUGGCGAUCUGUGCUGACUUAAGCAGGCUCCUGUAGUUGCUUUUCCUGGCUCUCUGUGCCCACUGUCUCUAGAGGCUCCCAAUAUGCAAGGACAAAGAAUCAUGAAGUUUGGAAAAGACCUUCAAGAUCAUCUGGUCCAACCAUCUCCCUACUAC